rnacentral:lncRNA from 1 species
GGAAGAAGAAAGUGGGUUAUCUAAUAUCAUGAGUAUGAGUUUUUUCACUUUGAUGAGGGUGAUGGAGCUCUUGGUGGUUCAGCUAAAGAUUCAAGCUUGGAGGUAGGUCACGAUGUUGGAUGCUACUCGGGUUCUGCAAAUAACUCAUCCGGUUUUGACGGUUCUAGCAAUGGAGGUUUUUCUCACUUUGGUUCAGAGGAAGAGAAAGAAGAAGGUGGUUCAUGUGUUGGUAUCUCCAAUAGCCAAGCAAACAUGGACACGUAUCCAUUUUCUAAAUUAAAU